rnacentral:rRNA from 1 species
UACGGAGGAUGCAAGCGUUAUCCGGAAUGAUUGGGCGUAAAGGGUCCGCAGGUGGCAAUGUGUGUCUGCUGUCAAAGAAUGAGGCUUAACCUCAUCAAGGCAGUGGAAACUACAUAGCUAGAGUACGGUCGGGGUAGAAGGAAUUCCUGGUGUAGCGGUGAAAUGCGUAGAGAUCAGGAAGAACACCCGUGGCUAAGGCGGUUCUCUAGUACGGUACUGACGCUGAGACGCGAAAGCGUGGGGAGCGAACAGG